rnacentral:lncRNA from 1 species
GGGGAUUCGCUGCCCGGCCUCACUGAUGCUCUGCCCACUGCCCAGCUGCUCUGCAAGCAGUCUUGAGGCUGGGUUUUGGUUUUAUUUGUUCCAUUACAUAAAAUAUUCAAACUUGAAAAAAAGACCAAAAGCCAUAAAAAUUACAAAUACCUAAAGAUAUUUUCAGAUAACAACAUUUCCCUUUUGCUCCUGCUGGACACGGUCUCUGCCCUUUCAGCUCGCAGUGCAGCAGUUUCCAUUUUGAGGUGCGAUGUUCUCAGGUCAGACCUGGACACAGGAACCUACCCAAAAUAGGGGUGUCCUAAGCUUGGUUCAUGAACCACUUGCAAGCUCCCCUCCAAGUUGCAGAAGGGCUGGAACUGCAGAAAGCUGAGAUAAGAGCCCUACCCCUUCCUUGGCGCGGUGAACACGAUAUGAAGGAUGAAGAGGAACUCAAGGAUCUCCUCUGCUGGUACCCUUGACUGCAACCC